rnacentral:rRNA from 1 species
UACGGGGGGAGCAAGCGUUGUUCGGAUUUACUGGGCGUAAAGGGCGCGUAGGCGGCGUGACAAGUCACUUGUGAAAUCUCCGGGCUUAACCCGGAGCGGUCAAGUGAUACUGUCGUGCUAGAGUGCGGAAGGGGCUACUGGAAUUCUCGGUGUAGCGGUGAAAUGCGUAGAUAUCGAGAGGAACACCUGCGGCGAGGGCGGGUAGCUGGGCCGACACUGACGCUGAUGCGCGAAAGCCAGGGGAGCGAACGGG